GCUUGUAUAGCUCAGCUGGCAGAGCACCUCCUUCACACGGAGGUUGUCCGGGGUUCAAAUCCCUGUGCAGGCA
rnacentral:tRNA from 3 species